rnacentral:rRNA from 1 species
UACGUAGGGUGCGAGCGUUGUCCGGAAUUAUUGGGCGUAAAGGGCUCGUAGGCGGUUUGUCGCGUCGGGAGUGAAAACACACAGCUUAACUGUGUGCUUGCUUCCGAUACGGGCAGACUAGAGGUAUGCAGGGGAGACUGGAAUUCCUGGUGUAGCGGUGAAAUGCGCAGAUAUCAGGAGGAACACCGGUGGCGAAGGCGGGUCUCUGGGCAAUAACUGACGCUGAGGAGCGAAAGCGUGGGGAGCGAACAGG